GGGCGUUUGGCGCAGUGGCUAGCGCGUUCCGUUUGCAUCUAUGAAACUUCGGAAAGGUCGUGGGUUCGACUCCCACAUCGUCCA
rfam:Fungal sp. No.11243 DNA, scaffold: sccafold0008.